GUCAGUAUGUCCGAGUGGUUAAGGAGUUAGACUUGAAUCAUUCGAGCUAUCUAAUGCGCACUGCGCUCGCAGGUUCAAAUCCUGCUGCUGACG